GGCGGCGGCGUUUCUGGCGCCCUUCCUGCUGGGCACCGCGUGGGGCAUUUGGAGCGCCGCCGGCAAGCGUCCCGGAGGAGGAGGCGCCCAGAGCCUGGACCACGAGAAGCUGCAGAUGACUGAUGGUGUCAAUGUCGUGUGCAGUGACUUGGACAGCAGCCUGCUGGCCGGGGGUCGCCUUGACGACAACUACGACG